AGCUCCAAUAGCGUAUAUUAAAGUUGUUGCAGUUAAAAAGCUCGUAGUUGUACUUGUGGUGUUCAUUGGGCUCCCUAGCCUACUGGGUUAUGGUGUGGCCUGGUGUUGCCAUCCUUGGAUGGAACCUGUGUGGCAUUAGGUUGUCGUGUGGGGGAAGUCCAUCGUUUACUGUGAAAAAAUUAGAGUGUUCAAAGCAGGCUUAUGCCGUUGAAUAUAUUAGCAUGGAAUAAUGAGAUAGGACCUUGGUACUAUUUUGUUGGUUUGUGCACCAGGGUAAUGGUUAAUAGGGACAGUUGGGGGUGUUAAUAUUGCAUUGUCAGAGGUGAAAUUCUUGGAUCUUUGCAAGAUUAACUACUGCGAAAGCAUUCACCAAGGAUGUUUUCAUUAAUCAAGAACGAAA
rnacentral:rRNA from 1 species